CAAGCGAUUAAGACAUUAAGUGAAUACACAUACUUGCUGGGCUGCCUAUGCUGCUGUGGAAAUGUUCAAAAUAUGGAAUUUUCGGCAUGGACUAAAUUGAGCAUGAGCAUAAAUUCUAAAAUCCGGCAUUUCUGCCAGAUAUGAAGAUGAAAAAUCGAUAACGCGAACUUGGAUUCGAGAUUUGUCAUUUCAAAUUUUCAAUGCGAAAAUAAACUAGAUAUCAGUUACAAUUUUUAAGGUUGAAAGAAAAUAUUCAAGUUAUUACAGACAUGCUUCAAACUUCUUGAAGAUUGUUCUGUAGAAGAUAUCACGCUGUGUGCAACUGUCGAACACACUAGCUACAAAGCUAAUGACACAGAAUAUUAUAAUGACUUGUAAUCGUCUUGCAAUUAUUAUUCCGUCGUACUAUUAAAUAAUCAAUCUAUCCACAUGAUGUUUCUUUGAUAGUAAUUUAUUACUGCUAACUAAUCUGUUGAUAUGAUAAUUAUCAACAUGCUGAAUCCUAG